rfam:Rhodnius prolixus Rhodnius_prolixus-3.0.3-372.28, whole genome shotgun sequence.
ACCAUGGCGCAGUGGCAAUAUCGUAACCAAUGAAGGUCACCUGAGGUGCGAUUAUUGCUAGUUGAAAAACUUUUACCAUUGUAAUAAUAAUAUAAAUAUAUUAUAUAAAAUCUAAAAAAAAAGAAG